GGGUGACGGCGUACCUUUUGUAUAAUGGGUCAGCGACUUACGUUCAGUAGCAAGCUUAACCGUAUAGGGCAGGCGUAGCGAAAGCGAGUCCGAAUAGGGCGUUCAGUUGCUGGGCGUAGACCCGAAACCAGGUGAUCUAUCCAUGGCCAGGAUGAAGGUGCGGUAACACGUACUGGAGGUCCGAACCCACUAACGUUGAAAAGUUAGGGGAUGAGCUGUGGAUAGGGGUGAAAGGCUAAACAAACCUGGAAAUAGCUGGUUCUCUCCGAAAACUAUUUAGGUAGUGCCUCGUGUCUCACCUUCGGGGGUAGAGCACUGUCAUGGUUGGGGGGUCUAUUGCAGAUUACCCCGCCAUAGCAAACUCCGAAUACCGAAGAGUGCAAUCACGGGAGACAGACAUCGGGUGCUAACGUCCGGUGUCAAGAGGGAAACAACCCAGACCGCCAGCUAAGGUCCCCAAAUAUAGCUAAGUGGGAAACGAAGUGGGAAGGCUAAAACAGUCAGGAGGUUGGCUUAGAAGCAGCCACCCUUUAAAGAAAGCGUAAUAGCUCACUGAUCGAGUCGUCCUGCGCGGAAGAUGUAACGGGGCUAAGCUAUAUACCGAAGCUGCGGAUGCGUGCUUGCACGCAUGGUAGGAGAGCGUUCCGUAAGCCUGCGAAGGUGCCUUGUAAAGGGUGCUGGAGGUAUCGGAAGUGCGAAUGCUGACAUGAGUAGCGAUAAAGGGGGUGAAAGGCCCCCUCGCCGUAAGCCCAAGGUUUCCUACGCAACGUUCAUCGGCGUAGGGUGAGUCGGCCCCUAAGGCGAGGCAGAAAUGCGUAGCUGAUGGGAAGCAGGUCAAUAUUCCUGCACCAUUGUUAGAUGCGAUGGGGGGACGGAUCGCGGAAGGUUGUCCGGGUGUUGGAAGUCCCGGUCGCUGCAUUGGAGAAGGCGCUUAGGCAAAUCCGGGCGCGUAAUUCAAGGGUGUGGCGCGAGCUCCUUCGGGAGCGAAGCAAUUGGAAGUGGUUCCAAGAAAAGCCUCUAAGCUUCAGUCUAACGAUGACCGUACCGCAAACCG
rnacentral:rRNA from 1 species